UUGACUUCUGGACCAGGAAAGAAAGUCACUUCUUUCAGAUGGAGAAGAAGUAAAAGAGCCAUUUUUUUUCUGGCUUCUACAGCACUGUUCUGUUAAAUGAAGAGACUGACUGCCCCCAUGUCAGAGAAUCACUGAGAACCAGACCCGGAGAGGGUUGCCAAAUCCUCUGCUGAAUGCCAGAGGAAGCACUCUUGAAACCAUUCGCCCUCAUCCUGUCCCUGCACACCCGGAUCAAGAGCCCCUCCCCAGCAUUCCUGGAGCCCCUUUCAGUACUGGAAGAUGCUCUAAGGUCUCCCUGCAGUCUUCUCUUCUCCAAGCUGAACAAGCCAUACUCUCUGUCUGUCCUCGGAUGGGAGUUGCGCCAGCCUUUGGAUCAUCUUUGUGGCCUCCUCUGGACCUGCUCCAACAGAUCCACGCCCUUCCUGUGGUGAGGACUCCAGAACUGGAUGCAGGGCUCCAGGAUCACAGAAUUGUUAAGUUCGGAAAAGACCUCUCAGCUCCUCCAGUCCAACCACCAGCCCAACCCCACUGUGUCUGCUAAACCAUGUCCUGAAGAGCCACAUCUACAUGAUCUUCAAUUCCUCCAGGGAUGGACACUCCAUCACUUUUCUGGGCAGCCUCUUCCAGUGCUUCACCACUCUUUCAGUGAAGAAAUGUUUCCUAAUAUCCAACCUAAACCUCCCAUAGUGCAACUUGAGGCCAUUUCUUCUCAUCCUAUUGCUUGUUACUUGGGAGAAGGAUUACGAGCUUUUAUUCUUCUUGCAAGAGUUUCCAGCACCAUUUCUGCUGGCAGGUGCUGCUUAGGGCAGAUGUACUUUUAUUCCCUUACAGUUAGAUUGGAUCAAGCCUCGUUUUCCAGGUAGCUCAAGUUUCCACAGUGGAGCUAUCCCAGUUUAUUACUCUGAGAAGAAAAUUGUAGUCAUUUUUGUGACCUCCUUCAGCAGCCAUUGAAAUCUUUCUGGCACAUGUGUGUGAUCACUGAAUUUCCACUUCCUACUGAUUGUAGGAAUCCAUGCUU